ensembl:lncRNA
CUUUUUCAGCCAGUAGGAGGAGGGGCUCCGGUCUGUGCGGUUCGGUUGAGAGGAAGUUUUUACCGUUACCAAGCAGCGGAGAAACGCCAUGGCGGCUAAACAUCAGUGUUUCAGUCAGUAAGUGUGGAGAAAAGUCAAGAAAAACAGCUUUCUGAGGCGACAAGGCGUUGAGUCUGAGUCUGGCCUGAGCGCAUCAUUGCCAAAUACCGUUAAACUCCGCCGAGGUCGUGUUUUUUCUCACUUAUCUUAACGUUAAGGGUUAAGUUGACGUUAGCUAGUUAGCUAACCUAAUUUGUGGUGCCUCGCUACUCGUUCAAACCUUCAAAUCCCUUCUGUCCUAAAUAAAAGCUACUUUUAUGCCCAUAUUUUUCCCCGUAUGACGGGCAUUAAACGAUACCGCUAUUUAUUUGUUCGCCGCUGAGGCUCGGAGACGCCGAAAAAUGGGUGAAGUGUUUGACGAGGCUUCCUACUCGAAUCGCCCGUUCCACCUUAAACGCUGCAGCAUUUACAUUCUGGUGCCGUUCUACCCCAUCAUUUAAGGUGGAGCGGGGCGUUCGAACAAGAAGCUAGUUUACCUUCAGCUUCAUGAAUAUGUGUGUGUCGUUGCAGUUGACCGUUGGUGAGCUAGGUUGCCAGGCUGAAGAAGAAAGAGUGACCACUCUUCCCUCACCGCUCCUCUGAAAUGAUGUAGCCGAGAAGCUCGUGUUCUUCCCUGAAGAGGACAAACGGAAACCUCCUCUAUCAUGGCCACGUCUAGUGAUCUGCGGGAGAAGCUGCGGAACAAACGGAGGGCCCUGCAAGAGUCUUUAGGAAAAGUGAAGGAUGACACUCAGGAACUGACUAGCAGAGGAGAUGACCCAGGCGAAGCCCUACGACGCUCACUGAAAGCACAGAGAAUGAAGAAGAAAAAGAAGCUGGUAGAAGAAAUGUCCAUGGAGAUUCCUCCAGAAGAGGAGGUGGUGAAGGCGGAGGUCACAACUGUGCAGGAGCUGCAGUUUGAGCAGGAAGAGCUUUCAGAAGACACCUCUGCAGAGGGAGCCCGCUCAGCCAGAUUACAGAGAGGUGAAUGAAUAGACUAAUUUAGCCUAAUUGAUAGGUACGUGUAGCACAAUAUUUAUUAUUG